AAUAUCUAUCCGCACAAACUAAUUACAACACAUGAUAAAUUAUAUCAUAUAAAUUAUAUAAUACAAAAGAUAAACUAUAAAAUAGAAAUUAUACAACAUCUCAAUAUCUAUCCCCACAAACUAAUUACAACACAUGAUAAAUUAUAUCAUAUAAAUUAUAUAAUACAAAAGAUAAACUAUAAAAUAGAAAUUAUAAAACAUCUCAAUAUCUAUCCCCACAAACUAAUUACAACACAUGAUAAAUUAUAUCAUAUAAAUUAUAUAAUACAAAAGAUAAAUUAUAAAAUACAAAUUAUACAUCUCAUUUCAAUAUCUAUCCCCACUAACUAAUUACAACACAUGAUAAAUUAUAUCAUAUAAAUUAUAUAAUACAAAAGAUAAACUAUAAAAUAGAAAUUAUACAUCUCAUCUCAAUAUCUAUCCCCACAAACUAAUUACAACACAUGAUAAAUUAUAUCAUAUAAAUUAUAUAAUACAAAAGAUAAACUAUAAAAUAGAAAUUAUACAUCUCAUCUCAAUAUCUAUCCCCACAAACUAAUUACAACACAUGAUAAAUUAUAUCAUAUAAAUUAUAUAAUACAAAAGAUAAAUUAUAAAAUAGAAAUUAUACAUCUCAUCUCAAUAUCUAUCCCUACUAACUAAUUACAACACAUGAUAAAUUAUAUCAUAUAAAUUAUAUAAUACAAAAGAUAAAUUAUAAAAUAGAAAUUAUACAUCUCAUCUCAAUAUCUAUCCC
rnacentral:lncRNA from 1 species